CUCGAUUGAGAUUUUGAGAAAAUGCUUUGAUUUAUUAGAUGGUAUAUACAUAUGAUUUUUGGAAAUCCUUGAUAAUCGUAAGUCAUGCAAGACAGUGAUUACAUCUCCUGGGAGAGAUUUUCCAAACUUUGCAGAAUCAAAUAAAGAUUAAAAGUUAUCUGAAAGGGAUGAAAACGUAAACUUACACAGGACUCGGCCAGCAUACCACCCAAUGCUGAUUCUCCACCCAAUCUCAACUGCUACAACAAACAAUACGACGAGGAGGUCAGCAACACAUAAGUUCAUUAGGAGCAUGUUCAUGGGGGUGCAUCUUAUGCGGAUACGCCGACAAACGGCAUAGAACUCGAGCAGAUUUCCCACUGAGGCUAAAAUGAACACGACGAAAUAUGUGAUGAUCCAGGGCCAGGCGAAUGGGUCAUCAAUGGUAAAAUUAUUCUCGUAAUUCUCAAAGUUGAGCUCUGGACUGGGUCCCAAGUGCAGGAGAGAAGAACCACUUUGACGGCUGAGUUCGUCGAGUUUGUCUGACGCGUUGGAGAAUUUCAAAGACAUUGUUCCCGUUAUUGGGUGAGACCGAAUCAAUUGAUAGGUUAGAACGUAAUUGGUUUUUUUUAUCUAACAAAUAAACUGUAAUGAGGUGAUUGUGUGAGUGAGCUGGGAUACCACUUUCUCCAACUUUCUGCGGGGAGCGUGAGACCUGCACUGGAGAAAGUGAGCAAACGACUCUGUCUUUUAUCUGUGUACCAUAAUAAUCCUACCGAGGUGACGCAUUCGUCCGCCUUCUUCUGCCCCCGUUUGAUGCUCCCCAUUCCUUAAAUCUUCAAUGGCAGGGCACCAAACGGAACUAAUGGGCAGAAAGACGCAUGUAUUAUUGUUCAUUGGUACAGAAAAUCAAGGAUAACAUUGGGUUUUAAUUUCGUCUCAAGACCUGGCCAAAUUGUACUAUCGCUAUGCUAAGGAGCCCGAAGUAUCACAAGUUUCCCAAGUAUUCUGCAUGUAAUGAAUGAGAACUUGAUUAAUUCUUUUAAAACUGUAGUGCAUAUCACUGUUCAUAUCCCUUUUCUUCAGGCAAUUUUAGUCCGAGUCUUGUACAUAAAUUAAGCUAAAAAAAUGUAUAGUUAUUGGUACGUGUGAAUGAGUGGUCUCUAAUAUAGCAAUUUCAAUUUGCGAGUGUACAAAGUACAACAACAAAAAUGCUCAGAUUUGUUAAAUAACGCACAUAAUGUUAAAUUAUAAAAUGCGGCCUUGCAUUGUUCACUUACUACAUACGAGUUAAAGGAAAUGUUUAUUGAACCUAAAUAAAAUACAGCUCCCGUUAAACGUAGACUUUUGAUUACUAAUAGAGUAAUCUACAUUAGGCUUGAGUUAAAGUAUACAUAAAUACGUAAAAGAAUGUGUAUGCAUGUUUUUCCUUGUUUGAAAGAAAUAUUGUAAAAGGUACUAGUGGUGAGUACGCACGCUUUUUGAGUUUGGUGGCGUGGCGUAUGAUGCCGCAUUUAUUUUUUCCACUGGUAUUAUUCGGAUCGGAAUUUGUAUUUUUCUUCCCCCUUAUUUUGUGGUAUGGAGGAGCUUCAUAUGCUGCAGAGUCGUCAGCAUUUAUGUCUUCUAUCAUGUCCAGUAUUUUUGCGAAAGAGGUCCCGGAAAUGUCUCUUCCGGCAACACUCCCAGAAUCCAGUACCAGCAAAUUUAAAGAGACGACGACGACGACGACGACGAGUCGGCCCAAGAAAUAUGCGAUACGACGCAGGGUUGUCAAAGUCAUUACCACGACGGAGGAGGAGGAAACAGACUGUAAAAGUCGUGGCGGAAGUCCUUGCAUGAGUGAUGACCAGUGCUGUCUGGGCAAGUGCAGUCCUCUGGGGCGUUGCCCCACAGCCGCCCAACUUUUUGACGCCGCGGCCAUCACUCUCAAGAAGGAAAAAGACAAACACAUUUCACAGAAAGCCAAAGAAAACUAAAAUCAGUCAGGCUGAUGAGCAAAAUAUUAGAAAGUGACAAUUAACUAAAUCCAUUUUGUAAAAAUCUCCUUUAUAGACACAAGAAAGUUAUUAAAAUUGAUGAUUA